CCGACCUUGAAAUACCACCCUUUAAUGUUUGAUGUUCUAACGUGGACCCGUGAUCCGGGUUGCGGACAGUGUCUGGUGGGUAGUUUGACUGGGGCGGUCUCCUCCUAAAGAGUAACGGAGGAGCACGAAGGUUGGCUAAUCCUGGUCGGACAUCAGGAGGUUAGUGCAAUGGCAUAAGCCAGCUUGACUGCGAGCGUGACGGCGCGAGCAGGUGCGAAAGCAGGUCAUAGUGAUCCGGUGGUUCUGAAUGGAAGGGCCAUCGCUCAACGGAUAAAAGGUACUCCGGGGAUAACAGGCUGAUACCGCCCAAGAGUUCAUAUCGACGGCGGUGUUUGGCACCUCGAUGUCGGCUCAUCACAUCCUGGGGCUGAAGUAGGUCCCAAGGGUAUGGCUGUUCGCCAUUUAAAGUGGUACGCGAGCUGGGUUUAGAACGUCGUGAGACAGUUCGGUCCCUAUCUGCCGUGGGCGCUGGAGAACUGAGGGGGGCUGCUCCUAGUACGAGAGGACCGGAGUGGACGCAUCACUGGUGUUCGGGUUGUCAUGCCAA
rnacentral:rRNA from 1 species